rnacentral:rRNA from 1 species
GCUUAACACAUGCNAGUCGAACGAGCCUUCGGGCUAGUGGCGGACGGGUGAGUAACGCGUGGGAAUCUGCCCUCAGGAGGGGGAUAACGGCCGGAAACGGCCGCUAAUACCCCAUAUGCCGAGAGGUGAAACGAAUUUCGCCUGGGGAUGAGCCCGCGUCUGAUUAGCUAGUUGGUGAGGUAAUGGCUCACCAAGGCUUCGAUCAGUAGCUGGUCUGAGAGGAUGAUCAGCCACACUGGGACUGAGACACGGCCCAGACUCCUACGGGAGGCAGCAGUGGGGAAUUUUCCGCAAUGGGCGCAAGCCUGACGGAGCAACGCCGCGUGAGGGACGAAGGCCUCUGGGCUGUAAACCUCUUUUCUCAAGGAAGAAGACAUGACGGUACUUGAGGAAUAAGCCACGGCUAAUUCCGUGCCAGCAGCCGCGGUAAUACGGGAGUGGCAAGCGUUAUCCGGAAUUAUUGGGCGUAAAGCGUCCGCAGGCGGCCUUGAAAGUCUGUUGUUAAAGCGUGGAGCUCAACUCCAUUU